UACGUAGGGUGCAAGCGUUAAUCGGAAUUACUGGGCGUAAAGCGUGCGCAGGCGGUUUUGUAAGUCAGAUGUGAAAUCCCCGGGCUUAACCUGGGAACUGCGUUUGAAACUACAAGGCUAGAGUGUGGCAGAGGGGGGGUGGAAUUCCACGUGUAGCAGUGAAAUGCGUAGAGAUGUGGAGGAACACCGAUGGCGAAGGCAGCCUCGGUAC
rnacentral:rRNA from 1 species